rnacentral:rRNA from 1 species
CGGGUGAGUAACACGUGGAUAACCUACCUAUAAGACUGGGAUAACUUCGGGAAACCGGAGCUAAUACCGGAUAAUAUUUUGAACCGCAUGGUUCAAAAGUGAAAGACGGUCUUGCUGUCACUUAUAGAUGGAUCCGCGCUGCAUUAGCUAGUUGGUAAGGUAACGGCUUACCAAGGCAACGAUGCAUAGCCGACCUGAGAGGGUGAUCGGCCACACUGGAACUGAGACACGGUCCAGACUCCUACGGGAGGCAGCAGNG